ACUGUGUGAUUCCAUGGAGGAGCUGCCUAGAAUAGUGAACUUCAUAAACAGACGGUAGAAUAGAUGUGACCAGGGGCUGGGGAACAGCGUAUGGAGAGUCAGUGCUGAAUGGAUGUGGAGUUUCCGUUUGGGACGAUGAGAAAGUUCUGGAGAUGGAUGGCGGUACAACAUUGUGGAUGCACUUAAUGCCACUGAACUGAAUACUUAAAAAGGGUGACUUUUAACACCCACGUGUAUGCCAUGUGUAGAGGGACACGUACAAAGGGAAGCUGAUUGAAGACAUAGGGAGAAUGCCAUCCACAGCCAGGAAUGCCAAAGCCUGCAGCAAACCCCCAGACCCAGUGGAGAGGCAUGGGACAGACCCCCUCACAGUGCUCAGAAGCAGCCUCUGGCUUCUGGCUUCCAGAGCUGUGAGACAGUACGUGUCUGUUGUGUAAGCCCCCUAGUCUGUGGCAUUCUGUUACUGCAGCCCCAGAAAAUGAAUACAAUGCUUGUCUGUGGCUCAUUGAUGCCUCCUCUCCAGGCCUUCUGGUUUCUGGAAUGCAGGGAAGAGUAGGGAGGGGCUGGCCUGUGACGCCUCUUCUGCUUUUGGCUUCUUUCCUUCGUUUGUUCUUGGUUGCUCCUUCCCUCCCUGGCCUCCUUUUCCUUCUGUCUUCCCUCCUGCUUCGUCACACUAGUUAUUACUUGCUCAGUAUGUCUCCCCUGCUGGACUGGAAGUCCAGGAAGCCAGUCCUGGGCCCUUGGGAGCACUCCAUACCUACGGGCCGUGAGAUACUUCAGACAGACACAAUUUCUCCCGGCGACAGGGGAGGAAGCCAAGGCCUUGAGCAAUUUUGUGUCCCAGGCUGGUGCUGCGUGCCUGGGAGCAGUGAUGUGCUGAUAAAUGUUUCACAAGUGGCUCUUUGGAAGAAAAGUCAUGAUCUGCAGUGUUUGCCAGUUUCCAUGGUGUAACUACUCACAGAAUGUCAGAUUUCAUGCUACCCACGUGAUGUUACUCAACGGAAAACUGGGAAGACUUCACAGUAACACUGCAUUGUGUGUCAUUUCCACCACACCCAUACAGACAUCAGAACCCUGAUCCCCAAAGAUGAUAGCAGCUCUGCUUGGUUCCUGUCUGAGCCUGGGUCUGGAUCUGGGAGGUGCUGGCGGGUCCCUGUGCUUCCGCUAUGGUGGAAAUCUGAUUGUCAUCAGCAUUGGGCCGCAUGCCAGAGGCUGCGGCAGUUCUGCGCCUGGCCUGGCCGGCCUCGGGGCUACCCGCCACCCCUCACGUCUUCCCUUCUGGCUCCUUGCACGUCGCUAGUCAGUCCGCGAACCCUGACUCUCCAGCAGUGAGCUGGGUAGACCUGGGCAAGCCUCUGCCCUUCUCUACUUCCCAGGGUACAGAGUGAGAUUCCACCUGUGGCUUGAUUCUCCUUCACAUCUUGCCCACCCAGGCUUCUGGCCGAACCUAGCAGCUUAAGUCAAAUUCAGCUGGAAGUUGGCUGCUGAAGGAGCUGUCUUUCACCCUCCAUAACUGAGGGCUUACUGUUCUUAACUGUUGCCAAGUGGGGGCUGUUUUCUUUGAGGGAGUUUUUUUCUUCUUUAACAAUUUUAUAUAUAAAAUAACAAAUGCAAACUAUGUAUUAUGAGACAUGCUGACAAAAUGAACAUCUGUGAACACACUAUCCCAUCUAAGAAUUAGAACAUUAUUAACAGGGUUGUAGAUGCCUAUCUGUUCUUUCCUGUUCUGUAUGCCUGUCUCCCCUGAAGAGAUAGCUGUUAUCCUGAGUUUUUGUGUUUGUUAUUUCCUUGCUUUAAAAAAGUAGCUUCAUCGGCUGGGCGUGAUCCCAGCACUUUGGGAGGUCGAGGCAGGUGGAUC